rnacentral:lncRNA from 1 species
CGAGGUAUCUCAAGUCACCGGCAACUACAAGAUCUGUGUAACUAUAAGAAAAAAUAUCAUAGUCCAGAAAUAAAAUACUAGGGACAGUCUGAGUAAGGUAAGAAGGAGAAGUGCAGGGCUGCGAACGCCAAGCAGCUACUUUGCCAACUCCGAAGACCUGCUGGAACAACGAUCAUCACUCACUAUCACAACCCGCAACACCUAGAUCUGCACAUAAGGUACAUGGAGUAAUGUGUGUACACCAACUCAGUAAGUAAUAAAAUUAAAUGAAAGAUGAGCAGUAAGAAAACAAAUAUUUCCACGUCAUAGCACUACAUCAAAUACAGUAAAUUUCCAAAAACAGUACAUAACUCAAUUAUCUCGUAAAACAACUCAGUUUUGGUAAAACCUUUUAUUUUAAAAACAUCUUCCAAUAGUUUCAAAUGAGUGAUGAAACACUGAGUAAAACUGAUAGAAACGUAAAUAGCCCUUCGAGUAGGACAUGUACCAUAAACCACCCCUCGGGCAAAAUAUCAACAGAACCAGCCCCUCGGGCUACCUCAUAAUCACUUGUAAUCAGCCUCUCGGGCAACAACAUGAAUCAAUAACAACCCCUUGAACAAAAUCACAUCACUCACACUGGGUCCACGCGCUCACUAGGGGUGUUAAGUCUCCGUAGGGGCUCCUACAACCCUAGCGCUAUCACAAGCCAUCUCGUGGCACAAUAAAUUAGGACCUUGGCCUCUCAUAUAUAAAAAAAGAGUACAACACGAUGCGCUACACAGCCCGAUCCCAUGAUAUCCUCACAACAGGGGCCCUCGGCCUCACUCAGUCAGAAUUCUCUCAAGCCACUUGGGGUAACAUUAAAACAGAGUGCUCAGCCCAAAAUAUUAUUUGUAGAAUCAAAAUAGAGUAAAUAAAACCGAGUUAUGAAAUCGGUAAAACAUAGCAUGACUUAGUGUAGAUAUUAAACCAAAACAGUGAGGAAGCAUUAGUAAAAAAUCCCUAAGGGUCCAAACAGUUGGCACGAGGCCCAAAUAUGGCAUUCAACCCAAAACAUAGUAAUACUUUUCAAAACACAAUAGUAUCAAAUAGUUUUCGAUCAAAUACAUACGGGAUGGACCAGGUCACAAUCCCCAACGGUGCAUGCCCCCACGCUCGUUAUCCAGCGUGUGCGUCACCUCAAAAUAGUAAAACAAUGUAAAAUCUGGGGUUUCAUACCCUCAGGAUAAUGUUUACAAUUAUUACUUACCUCAAACUGGUCCAAAAUCUAACCCGCAAUGCCUUUGCCUCUCGACUCGGCCUCCAAAUGCUCCGAAUCUAACAAAAAAUUAGUAUAUUGUCAUCAAUAUACACUAAAGGAACAAAGCCCAAGCGAAAUAAUCAAAUUAACUCAAAAAUUUCGAAAUUGGCUCAAACCCGGUCCUCGGGCCCACGCCCCAGAAUCCGUUAAAAAUCACAAAAUGGGAAACCCAUCCGCUCAUGAGUCUACCCAUAUAAAAUUCAACAAAAUCUGACAUCAAAUUGCAAUCCAAAUCCCCAAAAUCAACUCUCCAAAUCUUCUUCUACUUUCCCCAAUUUUCUUCCCAAAUUCCCAAAUUAAAUGAUAUGGAUCAAGACAUAAUCAUGAGAUUUAACCAAAUUUUAGUGAAGAACACAUACCCCAAUUAAUCCUCUGAAAAUCCCCUCCAAAAUCGCCUUCUUCCAAGCUCUCUAAUGAAUUUUGAAGUUUUGGACCAAAACCCUCGUUUUUUGAACUUAAACAUUCUGCCCAGGCAUUUCUUUCUUAGCGAACGCAACCGUCCUCUCGCAUUCGCAUAGACAAACUCAAAUUGCCUCUCUGCUUUACUCUUCGCGAACGUGACAAAUACCUCACAAACGCGAAGCUUCGCCAGCUCAAACCUUCGUGAAUGUGAUCCUCACCUUGCGAACGCGUAGACAAAAGACUCGGGGUCCCAACUACCUCACUCCUCUUUGCGAAUGCGAUACCACUCACGCGUUCGCGGUGCACUCUCUACCUUACCCUUCGCAUUCACAUUCACGUCAUCUCCUUCGCGAACGCAAUGAACAAAAACCCCUCUUCUCUCAAUAACCCCUCGCGAAUGCGAUACACUUCUCGCGAACGCGAAAAAGGAAUUCUCUACAACAAAAUACCAGAAAUCUGCCAACUUCUAAAGCCAAGAAUUGAUCCAUUAACCACCCGAAACUCACGUAAGGCCCUUAGGACCUCAACCAAAUAUGCCAAAACAUCAUUAAAGCUUGUUCCAACUUUCAGAACGCUCAAAACAACAUCAAAACAUCAAAUCACCAUCGGAUUCAAGCCUAAGGAUUUCCAAACUUCUGAAUUCCGCAAAUGAUGCAAAAACCUAUCAAACCUCAUACAAAUUACCUGAAAUUUCGCACACACGUCACAAAUAACACAAAGCACCUACUCAAAUUUCCGGAAUUCCAAUCCGAUCCCGAUAUCAAGUUUUCCACUGCCAACCGGAAAACGCAAAAAUUCCAAUUUCGCCAAUUCAAUCCUAAAUCUACCACGGACCUCCAAAAUACAUUCCGAUCACGCUCCUAAGUCCAAAAUCACCUUAAACGAUAUAUGAACCAUCAAAAUUCACAUUCGAGACCUUCUACCCAUAAGUCAAUAAUCGGUUGACUUUUUCAACUUAAGUUUACUCAAAAGAGACUAAAUGUCUCAUUCCUCUAAAAAAACCACUCUGAGCCUAAACAGACCAACACGAUACGAUGAAAUAUAGCUGAACAACACAUAAAGAAGCAGAAAUAGGGGAAACAGGGUCGUAACUCAUGAAACGACCGGCCCGGUCGUUACAUUCUCCCCUUUUUAAACAAACGUUCAUCCUCGAACAAGUCAAGAAACAUACCUGAAACCUCAAACAGGUGUAGUUAUCUUCUUCGCAUCUCCCGCUUGGUCUCCCAGGUAGCCUCCUCCACGGGCCGACAUCUCCACUACACUUUCACUGAAAUUGUAUCCUUUGAUCUCAACUUUCAGACCGGCCGCUCCAAAAUAGCCACUGGCUCCACAUCAUAAGUCAAAUCACCGUCUAACUAAACCAUGCUGAAAUCCAAGAUAUAAGACGGAUCACCAAUAUACUUCCAAAGCUUAGAAACAUGAAAUACCGAAUGCACACGGUUUACCGUUAAAAUGGUAAUAACAAUUAAAUUUGAUUAUGGGACUUUAAAAAUACAUGAUCUAUUUUUAUGCUAGUUGUUAAGCAGUUGAUGCUAUGCAUAUGAGACUUAGAAAUGAAAUGAUAAUUACGAAUAAGGUGAUAAUCAAACCGAUAGGUUGACAGUCGGGGCCUCGAGCUUGUCGAUUCGGGGGCCUCGAGGUCCAUUCCAGAGCUUGGCUGGGAGCUAUCGAGGGGGGUCAAAUUAUGGCUAACAAUUAUAGUGAAAUCAACGAAGGCUCUAUCAGUCCUUGCUGUGUACCUUGGGAACUCCCCAUUUCUAUCAUUAUCGUAAUCAUCACUACCCUGAGGUCGAGUGUCGACGACCCUCGAGGGAGGAUACUCGUCUGUGGCCUCGAGCCUUCGAGGUGAUCUUCCGAAGUGCCUUAAUGGCAAGAAACUAGACCCUUCGAUUUCACUGUAUACAAAUAGUCCCCGCAUUUCCUAGAACGAAGUGAUAGGAAACAAUUUUGAGCUUCCAUUUCGAAGGCAUCAUCACCGUGAUGUCAUCCUAUCAGAGCAUUAAAUGCCAUGCCCAAAAAACCAUGCAAGGGUCAUCGUCAAACGCGACUACCGAGAAGCCCACGAACAUCUAUUAGUCCAUCCCUUCCACUGCCCAUUCAGCUCCUAUAAAUGCACCAAUCAUUUGAUAGUUCUUACUUUCUCAACAUCUUCAAACUCGAAAAGCUAGAUCCAUUACCUUUCGUAUCCUGUCUUCUUACUUUCUUAGAGAAAUUUCAUCAUCAGCAUGGAUAGAACCUCCAAGACGGUUACUCGGAAAGAUGAGGUUGUUUCUUCAUCUCGAACAUCUAAAGGGAAACCCAAAGUGAUACCCACAUUGGGACAAUGUACUCCCAAUGAGCUUGACAUGUCGAAGGACUUUACCAUCGAUAAAACUUCAUCCGCACCGGGCCGAUGCGAACACGUGUCCCGAUAAAUUAGUGUCCUGACCAACAUAGGGACGGUAAAGAGAGACUACCGAUGGAGGGAGGCAGUGGAGGUGGAUAUUCCCAGCCUUGAUGAGAAUAUAACUGAUUACAAGGCUGUCUUCUUUCAUGUAUAUGCUUACCCAAUCACUUUGGGUCCUAUCGAUCCUUCUAAAUCCCCUCCCCCGGAGAUAGAUCCAGUUAUCCUAGAUUUUUGUAACAAAUAUCAAGUGACGCUUGGUCAAAUCUAUCCUUCUCUCUGGAGAAUAGUCUUGAUGCUCCGCCAUUUCUCCGAUGGGGUUGAGGGUGAGACCUUCACCCUCAACCAUUUGAUUAGGUUGUACAGUCCUCGAUUUUAUCGAGGUUUGAUUAGGCUUCACUACCAAUCCAAAAAAUCAUUUUACUCGAGCACCGACGAGGAGAAGGAUCGAGGGUGGAUGAGUAGGUUUGUUUGGGUGAAGACCUCGGACGUCAUUCAGGCCAGAAGGAUGAAGUGGAACACAUAGCGUAAGCAUUUUUUCCCUCGGACAUGUUUUGUGAUUUUAUUUCCUUUCUUCUAGAGAAAUGACCUCUUUUUGGUUUCUGCAGCUACCGCUUGGUAUCCCAAAGCGGUCUCGGAUCUGCCGGGAUGGAACGAGCAAUUGGACACCACGUUCCCAUAUCUUUAUCGAUCUUCGCCCGACCUGGCUAAGAAGCGAUGGGUGGCCAAGAAUCAUGGUAAUGUUUCCUUGCCACUUAUGUCUUAGAUUUAUGUUUCUCCAUGUAUCCUUUGUGCUGAUAAGUUACGGUCACUAUUCUUGUGCAGGCCUUCAGAGCCCGCCAAGGGAAAGAAAAGGAAAGGUAAGCCGGUUGCCGAUCCUCCUGUGGUAAAGAAACCUAAGUCACACGAGCCUCAAGACGUCACUAGGACCUCGACUUCAACUUUCGGAGCAAGCCCCGGUGCUGAGGAUGAGGACGGUGAUGAUGAUGAGGUCAAGUGUCAGUUGACACGGAGGACGAUGUCAGGUGUGGGAGCCUCGCAGGUGCCUCGACCGGAGGCUACUUAAUCAGGAACGGCUGACUCAGGUCGGUCCCAUGAAUCACAAACCCUCGAGGAGGGUAUCAAUGUGGUCCCCGAUCCCAUGACCGGAUUUGGUGUUGUUUCUGCUUGGGGGACCGUUGCCUAUGAUCCUAAAGGGUUGUGACUCGGAGAUUUUCAGGGGCAGGAGUUUCCCAUCGGAGACAUCGAUGAUAUAUGCGAUUUCAGUUUGGUCCCUUAGUUCUCGUCGGGGGAGUUGAGGGAUGCUCAGGACGUGAAUACCUCCAAAGCUGGGGGUCCUAUCAAAAGGGGGGGGGCGUUUGGCAACAUUCUUGAUGAUGUUAGCAAGAAUAUCAAUCUUGAUGCUCCCGGCACCGUCAAGGCAGCGGAGAGGCUCCAACAAUAGAAAAUAGCUAUUUUAUGCAUAUUUCCUUUAGUCUCAAGCAUUUUUCUUCAUUAUUCUAACUUUUUUGUUUUGCCGUAGUGUAAGGAGAUGUAUGAUCAUUCCCUUUCCAGGAUUCAUGAGGAGCUUUCAUGCCAUGAAAAGGAGCUUAAGAGGCUGACCUUGGGACUGCGAGAGUCGGAGGCUUACUCUGCUCGAAAGGAGAAAUAGUCAGACGAGCUCAGGGCUGCUUUGGAGGGAGCACUUCGAGAAAAAGUUGAUCUUGGUGAGCAGGUAUUUUCCAUGCAUGAAUUUGCACUUUAUUCCCAUAAUCCGAUACUAACUGUUUUACCUUUCCCCUUGCAGAUCAGGCAAAGGGAUUCACUGAUCGGGCAAAAGAAUGCGGAGAUCCUCAAGCUGACGGAACGAAACGAGGUGGCGGCCUCGGAGUUGGCAUCGACCAAUGAUCUUCUUUAAAAUGCUCGAAUGGAGGUUUAUGCGCAGACUACGGCCAAGUCCGAGAUCGAAGGAAAAGUUGCUACUUAUCUGUAGGAUACAGCCACGGCGAAUCAAAUAGCCUCUAAUAUAUUGAUAGAGGCUGAGUUGAAAAUGGCUUGGGCUAUCAAGCAUGAUAGAGCGAAGGCGAGGAGGGAAGCCUUGAAGGGGGUCAGAACUAGAGGUGGCGAUCUUUCAGCUAAGAUCGAGGAGUCCCGAGAGUUGGAGAGAAAGUCAGCGCUCUUGAUCACUCCAGAUGAGGAUCCUGGAGAUGGUUCGGAGGAUAGUGGCAAUGACGAAUAGACCUUGUGUCGCUUUGCCCUUUUUUUUUCCUUUUCUCUUUCUGUGCAUGUACCCUUGUAAAGACGAUCCUUGUAAAUAUAUUUUUGGCAAUGCAAGAGAGUUUUUCUACUCCAAGUCUUUCAAUUCAUUGUAUCUCGUUGCUCUUAUGGAGUUAUUCUUCGAAUUUUAAAAUUAACUCUUUGGAGCCCAUUCUUGGAGUAAUUGGGACCCCUGAAAUCGGGUCUUAUAUUGAAGUUAGGUUGAUAGCCUCUUUGGGGCCGAUGUUUGAGACAGCAAGAAGCUCCCGAGGUGUCGAUACCUCUCGACUUUCGUGGGGUAGCAGCAUUCAUGCGAUCUGAUAAAGGGAGCCCCGGGGUUACCCCGGGUAGUCCUGCCAAUACAUUUCCCAAGGAAAAGGUGACUUUACAAUGGCCAGAAUUAAUUGGCCCUCUAGGUAGGCGAGUAGCCACUGUUUUGCCCCUAUAUAUUCAUUCACUUGCUUCUCCAGUGGAAAUUCUACCACUCUAAGUAACUAUUUCUUCCAUAGGACUUGGUGCUUUGUGCUAGUUCUCCCGUCGUUUCAACUCAAAAUCUUUCCCCAAAUCUAUAUCCUCCUCCUCUUAUUUUAUCAUAGCCAUGAUUGCUACAUCGACACCGCCCAUCAAGGAGAGGGGAGUUCUACCUCUGUUCUGCAUCCGGUCGGUGGUACACUACCGGUGCCCGGUGAGCGGGCCUCGAGGUGUUUUGUCUCGAGGAGAGACUUUACGUUGGAGUGACCUCCCAACAUAUAAGGACAUCGGGAGCAUGCGUCGAGGUUCAUCUCAUCAGUAGGGGAGGAACACCUCGAAAUGAUCAGAAAAGACUAUGGAUGGGGAGAAAGAGUGGUGCUACAAGUACCUUCCUCUAAGGAGAGCAUCAUGACCUACGUUGAGGGGUUUUUGAGCCUAUAUACACACACGUUUACAUCGGGUCCCCCCGACCAGGUCGUGAUUGAGUUCUGUCGGAGAUAUCAGGUUACCUUGGCGCAGUCUCACCCAUCCCUUUGGAAGAUAGUGCAGAUGAUAAGAUACUUUAUAGAUAAUGUCGAGCUCGAAUUUACCCUCAGUUAUCUCAUGAGGUUAUAUCGACCGCUGCGUUAUUGGGGUUUGAUUACUCUGCAACAUCGAUCCACCGGAUCUCCUACUGUUGACGGUAAAGAAGACGAGGACCGAGAAUGGAUGAGCUGAUUCGUUCGAUCAUGGACAAUCGAUAUCAUUCCUGGAGAGUUUCUGCCCUUUCCUGAGAAAUAGAAUUUCACACGUAAGUGUCAAACCUAUAUUUUUAUCACUGUUUGGAGGCGGGAUCCAUAGCGACAUUUCUCUAUUUUAUUUUUUGUAGCGACUCCUUGGUUGCCGAACGAGGUCCCUGAUUUGACCGAGUGUUCUCGUAAGCUGGCAUCUUGUUCGACCUAUGAUAAGCAUCAGUGGCGUGACGUGUCCAAGGGGAGAUGGGAGGCAAAGCAUCAUGGUAGGCAUUUGGUGGCUUGUUUCCCUAGAAUUGUACUUUUCUUUUUAGCAUACUAGUUUAGCUGCCCGCAGGUAUUGGAGUUUUUUUUCGAGAUGAGGCCGUGCCCUAUGGGGAGGAGGAGAGACUAUUGACCUUGGGGUUGAGGGUUGAUGAUAAAUUAAAAGGGUCUCCGGGGUGUGAGGAGUCUCGCAGCGGGGCGAGUCCUUCUCAGCGGUUCAGAAGAGGCGAUUUGACUGAUCAUCCGGUUUCGGAGGCCUCCAUUUUCGAAAGAGCAUUACUCGUUUCUGCUGAGGGUACUUCGAAAGGAGAGGUGCACGUGGUGUCGCGCCCCCUUUUCCCUCCACGGAGAGAGGUCCGGGUUUCGACAUUCAUGGGGGGAACAACUCGUUUACUUUUGGGAAUUGGGUAUUUGAAGAGUUGCCACCUAACGGAUUAUAGUGCGUUAGGGCACCAAGAGUGAUUAACUCUUGGAUUAGUUUGCAUUACCAGAGAUUUAGGGUAAGGGCUCGAAAUAAUCUUGAGGGAAAGGUGUUAGGCGCCCCUCGCGGUCCAGAAUGGUGGGUCCUGGCCGAACAUAACUUGUAAAUCAGUCCAUUAACAAAUAAAUAGUUGAAUCAAAUAAUUUGCAAGUAAAGCACGUUGGACGUUGUAUAACUCAAACAAUAAAACAAAGAUUUUGAAAAAGUUGUAUACAUAUAAAACAAAGUUUUAAACAUAAGGGAUUUGGGAAAGGAAGGGUCCUAGGUUGGUUAGCUUAAAGGAUCACCCCAUACAAUGUCCUGUAAAAACUCCUCAAUGAGGGGCUACACGUGACACUAGUGCGUCUUCAUCAUAUCCCAUAUCUACCCUUCCCACCCCUUAGUGGUUAUUAAAGCGAGCGUUGGUUAGCGAUCUCUAUUGUGUUUUGUUACCCGUCCCUUGUUAUUGGUCCUGGAGGAAAUUUAGGACCUCUACCUAUAGGCAGUUCUAGACAGACCCCUAAGGUUUAAAGGUGAAAAUACUAAGGCAACAUGCAAGAACAAAUAGGACCUUAGCACAUAAGGCAUAAAAGAAGCAGUUAAAGGAUCAAGUUUACCUCAACAAACAACGCACAUAAGCAGCACGACUCAAAUAAAAAUAAGGGCCGUAUUGUUAAACGGUAUCUUGAGACAUGAUAACUACAUUUGAUAUAGUAAAAAUAGUGGGCAGAUUUUAAAAUAGACUCUUGAGUUCCUAUAGGCAUGCUUUCUAAUAGUAAAUUAGAGCAGUACUCGAAAUAAUUCAUUUCAGGGAAAACAAACCACUAAUUAGACCAGUUUCAAAAUAAACUAAUCAUAAACUGGAUUGACUUAUUUAAACUAAACCGAUUUUAGAUCUAUAGGCAGAAUUUCUUAUGUUAUUCUCUAUAGGCAUGAUAUCUAAUUGCUAAGAGCUGAUGUUAGAAACUUGUACGCAUGAUAACAAAUGGAAACACAUGUAAAAAUUCGUUAUAACAGAAGUUGAACUGGAUCAUAUUCUAUAAGCAUGGUAUCUACUUGUGAAGUUGAUUUUAAGACCUACAAACAUGAUUUAUAUUAUUGGAACCACUUGAGACCUAAAGGCAUGAUUUCUAACAUGGUAAGGAAAACAUAGCAAAUAUAGAAUCCUAUAGGCGUGGUUUCUACCCAUAUUACCCCACAAAUAUGUAACUACCUACCCCUUUUCACUAAUUACCCCAAUAUUCGUUUACAAAUUAUUACAAACCAUAUGAAUAAAUUACAUAAAUAGAUAAAAAGAAAAAUGAGAAGUUACACUAUAGGGAGACUGAAGUAGGCCCAAGUGUGUCACACCUCCAUUUUCUAUCCCCCGGAAGGGUAUAAGGAAGUUUUUCCCAAUUCAAGUGACAAUCGAAACGGAAUUAUUUAUUUAAAAUUCAGAGUCUCCACUUGGGAUAAUUUAUGGUGUCCCAAGUCACCGGUUCAAAUCCCGAAUCGAGGAAAGAUUGACUCUGUUUUACAGUCUGCGAACACAGAAAUCCGGGUAAGGAAUUCUGUUAACUCGGGAGAAGGUGUUAGGCAUUCCCAAGUUCCGUGGCUUUAGCACAGUCGUUCAACUGUUAUUAUUGGCCUAUUUAUGUGAUAUUAAAACAUCUUUGAAACCUAUGUGCAUUUUUAUUCCUUCUGAACCGCUUUUCAUAAUCCAAAUGUUAUACAACUAAUUACUUGAUCACACGUCGCAAUUCGUGUCACGGGAACCGUACCCACGAUCCACAACAUGUUUAUUUUAGUAACAAGAUUAAUUUGUGGCUGGGUCACAUAAAUGUACUCCCGGAUUUGAGAGUUUAGGGUCACAACUACAUCACGGGAACCGUACCCGUAGCUAUGACAAUUAUUUAAUUAACGCGCCUAAAGCAAACUACGAAAGUUCAAAGCUUUUUUUACACUAGUUAAGAUAAUUAAUAUGAGGGCCAUAGAUUAUGGAUUUUGUUUGAAUAUGGCGCACCUCAAUUUGUUUAAAAAAAAUUUAUAUUUCGCUAAGGCAAACCAAAAAUACUCCUACUUAUAUCUAAUUUAAAAAAAUACUAAGUAUCAAAACCACGUCACGGGAACCGUACCCGUAGUUAUAACAAUUUAAUUACGUGCCUAAAGCAAACUACAGAUGUUCAUCAAUUGUUCUUAAAACUAAUUUGAGAUUACGCGUGAAAGACCUAUGAUUAUGGACAUCCAAUUGUAAAACGGAGUGUAAAAUUUAACUAAAGAGAAUUAACACCAGUCUUGUUCGAACAACAUGCAAUAAAAUAUACAUCACUUGAAUCGGCAUCAAAUAGCCAACACAAAGAAACAAUGGACAUAACAGUGAAUGUGCAAAACAAAGGUAAGCGAAUCCAUAGACAACUCUCGUUCUUUUCUUUUAAUUAAAUCCAUAACUUCUAACUCCCAAUAAAUUAGAAGACAAGUUAACUAAAUCCCCAUAGCCAACUCUCAUUCUUUCCUUUUAAUUAAUUCCCUAAGUGCUUAAUUCCAUCUAAGACGAAGAUAAGCAAAACCAUUUAUUUAAUAGCCAAAUUCAUUCAAGGCUUCAAUCUUGCCUUAAUAAUGGAGGAUGGAUUAAUUUAGCAUCAAAUAUAAGAAAAUAAUGGCAAGUACCUUAGCCCCCACUGAUUCUUAUUACCAAACUUUCAAUGUACUGUGACCCAGAAUUACUCAACCAAGUCAAGAAACAUCAAUCAAGUCUUCAUUAUCUUAAAAUUCUACAAGCAAACAGUUAGAAUCGAAAACCAUUAAAAAACUUCUUCCUUUGGUUUACUAAUUCAAAGCCAACCCUAUAACUACCAAUAAAGGGUUUUCCAAUCUUAAUACCCGGUAAUUUUCAAAAAAAAAAUAUGAAAUGAACAUAAUUCAAGUACCUAUAAAUCAAUUUCUUCUAUUACUCCAUCUCCUUCACUAAAAGAAGAUGGAUUAUCAAACAAUUUGAGAAAUUAUCAGACCAUCAUUGCAAUUACAGAAGAAAACACCCAUUUUUGGUUUCCACAAUAAGAUUCCACAGACUCACAUUAACACAUUAGAGCCUAUUUGAACAAAUUGAGCCUACAUGUUCAAUACUCAAUUUUAAGAGCAUACCUCAAAUAGUGAAACAGAUUCAUCACAACUUUCUCGCUUAGAUGUUCUUUUGGCUGAUCUUUUCUCUUUUGUUUUGGUUUUGGGCACUCAGUCGUCAAUCUAGCGACUCUACCGCCCAGCAAGCAACUGAACUCGCUAAUCAGAGACUAAGACGGACACGAGCUCAGUCGUGCCAUAAGGAAAAGACAAAGGAAGAAGAUGAAAUCAGGUCAAAUUUACACUCAUUUGAACACUACCAAACUAAUAGUAGAAGUUGAAGAAGAAGCGGACAACCAAAAUAAAUAAAAAAACUAAAGUGAUAAGAGAUCAACAAACACACAAAUUACAUGAAAAAAUAGAAAAGGAAUAAGGGAAAGACCCUGUUAAUUCGGAAUUCUUUCACUAAUAACUAAAAAUUUCAAUGUUUUGCUUCAUAAUCCCACUGAGACAGUAACAAUAUCAAGUAAAAAUUGCAAACCAAAAUCCAAAUCGCGAAAACAAUAACACGGACGGAACUCAACCAACACCGGAAUUCCAAUCCCAAACGCAAACUCCAAUAUAGACUUUAAUCCAACUCCAUUCUUGAGAACCAGAACUCGAAAAAUGCUGAAUUUUUUUAUUUUUAUUUUUUUUUAUUGCUUUUGAAAUGAAGUAAAGCUAAAACAAAAUCAAUCAAAAUCAAACUUGAUUUUUCCUUUCCUCUUCAGAUUCUUUUUUUUCUGUAUCCCUAAAAAUCAGAAGAAGAAAAAUAUUCGAAAAUCAAAAGUAAGACUUUAUAUUUUUUCUUUUCUCUCCAAAAAAAUUUUUGACCCCUAAAGAAAAUUCUAUUCCCUCUUUUUAUAUCUCUUACCUCCAGAUUCCUCCUCUCUCUUCAAAAAAAUGGAUAAGGCCGUUCUGAAAACGAGCACACGAUGAAUGUGAGGCUCGGAUUGAACGAGAUCGAUUUGACGCCUCUCACUCAUCCAACACACGUCUUCUAGAGCCUUCUAAUCGCAUGAAAUAGCUUGUAGACAAGCGAGUGAGGGAGUGUUAUUGUCGAUUUGGAAUAUUCUUCUGUCAGAGACCGUUGGGGUUUGGUGAUGUAGAACAGGGAUUGAGACGGGGUGGACAUGUGCGGAUUUUAGAGGUGAACUCACGUGAAACUCGAACGAGUUUGGGAGAGUUUGGGUGAGGCAUACUCGGAGCUGGUGUGGGAUGC